rnacentral:lncRNA from 1 species
AACUCCUUUGGAGUUUUUAUUGGAGGAGAGUUAAUCUUAAGUAUUGAUUGAUGAUGUGCCGUCGGUUUACAAUUGAAGAGCGAUAAAUUUAGUCAAAUACUGAGGUGAACAGAAAAUUCAGGCACGAGAGGAGAGGAAGAAAGUGGAAGGGAGAAAAACAAAGCCACAAAAGCAGCAAAAAAUAUUAGGAACAUCACGGUAGAAUUGAAAUCCACAAUGUUAAUGACUGUG